rnacentral:lncRNA from 1 species
UCUUCACAUCGACUUCUUCGCUUCGACUUCCAGCCUCUUCGCUUCGACUUCCAGCGUGCGUGAGGCUUCGACUUUAGCCUUGGAGGUGCAGCUUUCUGGGGUCCGACUUUUGUUAUCGGGCUCUACUGAGGCUGCACUGGGUUCGACUUCCUUGGGGUCCGACUUUUCUGAAAGUCGGUCCCUUUCGAAGUUGUUCCCCAUUGGACUGUGGUCC